UACGUAGGGUCCGAGCGUUGUCCGGAAUUAUUGGGCGUAAAGAGCUCGUAGGCGGUUUGUCGCGUCUGCUGUGAAAUCCCGAGGCCCAACCUCGGGCCUGCAGUGGGUACGGGCAGACUGGAGUGCGGUAGGGGAGAAUGGAAUUCCUGGUGUAGCGGUGGAAUGCGCAGAUAUUAGGAGGAACACCGAUGGCGAAGGCAGUUCUCUGGGCCGUAACUGACGCUGAGGAGCGAAAGCGUGGGGAGCGAACAGG
rnacentral:rRNA from 1 species